UAACGACUCUCGGCAACGGAUAUCUCGGCUCACGCAUCGAUGAAGAACGUAGCAAAAUGCGAUACUUGGUGUGAAUUGCAGAAUCCCGUGAACCAUCGAGUUUUUGAACGCAAGUUGCGCCCAAAGCCAUCCGGCUGAGGGCACGCCUGCCUGGG
rnacentral:rRNA from 1 species